rnacentral:tRNA from 1 species
UGGGAUGUGGCCAAGUUGGUAAGGCGCCUGUUUCUGGCACAGGAGAUCAUAGGUUCGAGUCCUAUCAUCCCAGCCA